CAAAAGAUAAGCUAAGUUUAAGCUAAUGGGUUCAUACCUCAUCUAUGGAUUAUUCCUCUUUUUA
rnacentral:tRNA from 1 species